AUUGAACGCUGGCGGCAUGCCUUACACAUGCAAGUCGAACGGCAGCACGGGAGCAAUCCUGGUGGCGAGUGGCGAACGGGUGAGUAAUAUAUCGGAACGUGCCCGGUCGUGGGGGAUAACGUAGCGAAAGCUACGCUAAUACCGCAUACGAUCUACGGAUGAAAGCGGGGGAUCGCAAGACCUCGCGCGAUUGGAGCGGCCGAUAUCAGAUUAGGUAGUUGGUGAGGUAAAGGCUCACCAAGCCGACGAUCUGUAGCUGGUCUGAGAGGACGACCAGCCACACUGGGACUGAGACACGGCCCAGACUCCUACGGGAGGCAGCAGUGGGAAUUUUGGACAAUGGGACGCAAGCCUGAUCCAGCAAUGCCGCGUGCAGGAUGAAGG
rnacentral:rRNA from 1 species